GGUUGUGGCUCCGUGGUAGAGCACUUGCUUAGCAUGCGAGAGGCACUGGGUUUGAUCCCCAGCACCA
rnacentral:tRNA from 1 species